AACUGACCGAAAGGACAGCUAAUACCGCAUAAGUCCGGAAGGAGAAAGGUGCAAUAGCAUCGGCAGAAGAGCGGCCCGCGGUCCAUCAGCUAGUUGGUGAGGUAAGGGCUUACCAAGGCGACGACGGAUAGCCGGCGUGAGAGCGUGGCCGGCCACAAGGACACUGAGAUACGGGUCCUACUCCUACGGGAGGCAGCAGUGCGGAAUUUUAGAUAAUGGAGGGAACUCUGAUCUAGCGACGCCGCGUGCAGGAAGAAGGUCUUCGGAUUGUAAACUGCUGUGGUAAGGGAAAAAUGCUAUGUAGAGUGGAAAGCUACAUAGAGGGAUGGUACCUUACUAGAAAGCCCCGGCUAACUACGUGCCAGCAGCCGCGGUAAUACGUAGGGGGCGAGCGUUACCCGGAAUCACUGGGCGUAAAGGGAGCGUAGGUGGCCUAACAUGUCAACUGUGAAAACCCGGAGCUCAACUCCGGACUUGCAGUUGAAACUGGUAGGCUUGAGGACGGUAGAGGAAGACGGAACUGCCAGUGUAGGGGUAAAAUCCUUAGAUAUUGGCAGGAACGCCGGUGACGAAGGUGGUUUUCUGGGCCGGUUCUGACACUGAUGCUCGAAAGCCAGGGGAGCGAACGGGAUUAGAUACCCCGGUAGUCCUGGCCCUAAACGAUG
rnacentral:rRNA from 1 species